rnacentral:rRNA from 1 species
GUGGGGAAUUUUGGACAAUGGGCGCAAGCCUGAUCCAGCAAUGCCGCGUGCAGGAAGAAGGACUUCGGGUUGUAAACUGCUUUUGUACGGAACGAAACGGUCCUGGCUAAUACCUGGGGCUAAUGACGGUACCGUAAGAAUAAGCACCGGCUAACUACGUGCCAGCAGCCGCGGUAAUACGUAGGGUGCGAGCGUUAAUCGGAAUUACUGGGCGUAAAGCGUGCGCAGGCGGUGCUGUAAGACAGGCGUGAAAUCCCCGGGCUCAACCUGGGAAUUGCGCUUGUGACUGCAGUGCUGGAGUGCGGCAGAGGGGGAUGGAAUUCCGCGUGUAGCAGUGAAAUGCGUAGAUAUGCGGAGGAACACCGAUGGCGAAGGCAAUCCCCUGGGCCUGCACUGACGCUCAUGCACGAAAGCGUGGGGAGCAAACAGGAUUAGAUACCCUGUAGUCC